GCCUACGGGACGCAGCAGUGAGGAAUAUUGGUCAAUGGGCGGGAGCCUGAACCAGCCAAGUCGCGUGAGGGAAGACGGUCCUAUGGAUUGUAAACCUCUUUAGGCGGGGAGCAAUGCCGGGCACGCGUGCCCGGAGGGAGAGUACCCGCAGAAUAAGCAUCGGCUAACUCCGUGCCAGCAGCCGCGGUAAUACGGAGGAUGCGAGCGUUAUCCGGAUUUAUUGGGUUUAAAGGGUGCGUAGGCGGAUUUUUAAGUCAGCGGUAAAAUGUCCGAGCUCAACUCGGGAACUGCCUCUAAUACUGUUG
rnacentral:rRNA from 1 species